ACGAACGCUGGCGGCAGGCUUAACACAUGCAAGUCGAACGCCCCGCAAGGGGAGUGGCAGACGGGUGAGUAACACGUGGGAACGUGCCCGAAGGUACGGAAUAUUCUCGGGAAACUGAGGCUAAUACCGCAUACGCCCUGUAAAGGGGAAAGAUUUAUCGCCGAUGGAUGAACCCGCGUCCGAUUAGCCUGUUGGUGAGGUAAUGGCUCACCAAGGCUUCGAUCGGUAGCUGGUCUGAGAGGAUGACCAGCCACACUGGGACUGAGACACGGCCCAGACUCCUACGGGAGGCAGCAGUGGGGAAUAUUGGACAAUGGGCGCAAGCCUGAUCCAGCAAUGCCGCGUGAAUGAUGAAGGCCUUAGGGUUGUAAAGUUCUUUCGCUCGUGACGAUGAUGACGGUAACGAGAGAAGAAGCCCCGGCUAACUUCGU
rnacentral:rRNA from 1 species